GGCUGUCUAAAGUAUCGAUCGCAUGCGCCAGCGCACGCGAGCUACGCUGCGGCGCGUCAACACGCGCCUUUCUCCACUGGCGUGAGGGUUGCUCGACACGUGGUCGCGUUUCCGAUCCUUUUCUUUUUCUUAAUCUCACCUUGUAUCGGCGAUAGAGGUGGCUCGAUCGGAUUGGUGGCUGGAAGUUGGAAAUGAUCUGGUGGAACUUGAGGUCUGUAGCAGGCGGUUCGAUGAGACGAGCUGGCGGUCUUCUGGGAUCGCAGGGUGAAUUGUUGAAGAUUUCGUCUGUUUAUUUAUAUAAAUAAAUAAAUAUUCGUAGAGGAGAUGGAUAGAUUGUGAAGGAAGAAUAUACUCGAUAUCUUCUGAUCAGUCCCGUUCAAAUUCACCGAUAUUUCUCUUAUUCUUUCUCUUAUUAUUUGAAUUACAAAUGAGGAGAUAGAGAUAUAAGAGGACGAUGAUUUCAAUGAUGCUUCAUCGAUGGAUAAUCAUAUUGCUGGAAGAGACUUUCGCAUCGUACGAUGAAUUAACGAUGAACUUUCGUUAAACGUCGCUUUUGUGACGUGUUUUAAGUUUCAAUUUAGAAAUAGCGUUGUCGAGUAACGUAAACUGACGAUUAAAAUAAAUUGCAUUACAAACAUCGUUAUUGCAAUUGACUCUCGUUGCACUUGUGUAGUCUAUUUCCAAACGACUAUACGUCGUUAAGUUAUUUGUCGUGAAAUAGUCGUUAAGAGCAUCGUUUUCGUUUAAUUAUAUGUUAUUAACUUACUUAAUGCUUAAUGCGACGAUCUGAGUUGAAUGAAAAUUAAUACAAUUAAUAGUUGUAAUUAGUCAAACGGAUUAUAGAUAAUAAAUAUAUAGAGAUACAUAUUCAUAAAUAA